rnacentral:rRNA from 1 species
GGCGGCGUGCUUAACACAUGCAAGUCGAACGAUGAACCACUUCGGUGGGGAUUAGUGGCGAACGGGUGAGUAACACGUGGGCAAUCUGCCCUGCACUCUGGGACAAGCCCUGGAAACGGGGUCUAAUACCGGAUACUGACCCUCGCAGGCAUCUGCGAGGUUCGAAAGCUCCGGCGGUGCAGGAUGAGCCCGCGGCCUAUCAGCUUGUUGGUGAGGUAAUGGCUCACCAAGGCGACGACGGGUAGCCGGCCUGAGAGGGCGACCGGCCACACUGGGACUGAGACACGGCCCAGACUCCUACGGGAGGCAGCAGUGGGGAAUAUUGCACAAUGGGCGAAAGCCUGAUGCAGCGACGCCGCGUGAGGGAUGACGGCCUUCGGGUUGUAAACCUCUUUCAGCAGGGAAGAAGCGAAAGUGACGGUACCUGCAGAAGAAGCGCCGGCUAACUACGUGCCAGCAGCCGCGGUAAUACGUAGGGCGCAAGCGUUGUCCGGAAUUAUUGGGCGUAAAGAGCUCGUAGGCGGCUUGUCACGUCGGUUGUGAAAGCCCGGGGCUUAACCCCGGGUCUGCAGUCGAUACGGGCAGGCUAGAGUUCGGUAGGGGAGAUCGGAAUUCCUGGUGUAGCGGUGAAAUGCGCAGAUAUCAGGAGGAACACCGGUGGCGAAGGCGGAUCUCUGGGCCGAUACUGACGCUGAGGAGCGAAAGCGUGGGGAGCGAACAGGAUUAGAUACCCUGGUAGUCCACGCCGUAAACGGUGGGCACUAGGUGUGGGCAACAUUCCACGUUGUCCGUGCCGCAGCUAACGCAUUAAGUGCCCCGCCUGGGGAGUACGGCCGC